rnacentral:rRNA from 1 species
UAGUUUGACUCGUCGCUACGAGGUAGUGAACGCUAGCGAACAGGCUUAACACAUGCAAGUCGAGGGCAGCGGGAUGAAGCUUGCUUCAUCCGCCGCGACCGCGCACGGGUGAGUAACACGUAUGCAACCUGCCCCUGGCUGGGGGAUAAGCCGGAGAAAUCCGGGUCUAAUACCGCGUAACAUCCUUACGGGACAUCCCGUUAGGAUCAAAGGAAGCGAUUCCGGCCAGGGAUGGGCAUGCGGCGCAUUAGCUAGUCGGCGGGGUAACGGCCCACCGAGGCGACGAUGCGUAGGGGUUCUGAGAGGAAGGUCCCCCACACUGGUACUGAGACACGGACCAGACUCCUACGGGGGGCAGGCAGUGAGGAAUAUUGGUCAAUGGGCGCGAGCCUGAACCAGCCAAGUCGCGUGAGGGAAGACGGUCCUAUGGAUUGUAAACCUCUUUUGCCGGGGAGCAAGCUGGGUCACGUGUGACCCAGCUGAGAGUACCCGGAGAAAAAGCAUCGGCUAACUCCGUG